AGCAGCCGCGGUAACUCCAGCUCCAAUAGCGUAUAUUAAAGUUGUUGCAGUUAAAAAGCUCGUAGUUGAAUUUCGGGAUCAAAGGAUCGGUCAUGCCUUGGUAUGUACUGGUUUUAUUGGUUCUCACCUUCUAAAGAACCAUAAUGUCAUUCAUUUGAUGUUAUGGGGAAUUAGGACUGUUACCUUGAAAAAAUUAGAGUGUUUAAAGCAGGCUUACGCUUGAAUACAUUAGCAUGGAAUAAUGAAAUAGGACAUCAGAUUCUAUUUUGUUGGUUUCUAGGAUCGAUGUAAUGAUUAAUAGGGAUAGUUGGGGGCAUUAGUAUUCAAUUGUCAGAGGUGAAAUUCUUGGAUUUAUUGAAGACUAACUACUGCGAAAGCAUUUGCCAAGGAUGUUUCCAUUAAUCAAGAACGAAAGUUAGGGGAUCGAAGACGAUCAGAUACCGUCGUAGUCUUAACCAUAAACUAUGCCGACUAGGGAUCGGAUGAUGUUAAUUUUAUAAUGACUCAUUCGGCACCUUAC
rnacentral:misc_RNA from 1 species